rnacentral:rRNA from 1 species
CCCUUAGAUGUUCUGGGCCGCACGCGCACUACACUGAUGCGUUCAACAAGUUUCCUUGGCCGAGAGGCCUGGGCAAUCUUCUUAAUAUGUAUCGUGAUAGGGAUAGAUUAUUGCAAUUAUUAAUCUUGAACGAGGAAUUCCUAGUAAACGCAGAUCAUCAAUCUGCAUUGAUUACGUCCCUGCCCUUUGUACACACCGCCCGUCGCACCUACCGAUUGGAUGUUCCGGUGAAGCCUCGGGAUGAGGACUGGUGCCUUUAUUGGCAUGAGUUGUUCAGAACUUGUCUAAACCUUAUCAUCUAGAGGAAGGUGAAGUCGUAACA